UCCCUUCAGGCCAGGGAGAAAAGCUUGUUUGUUCCCGCGUCUGGGCAGUUGCACCCUUCUUCGGGUGGGCUCGUAAGGGGAGUAGAGACUGGAAAAGAGCCGAGAGGUCGAGCCAUGUUGCAUAAUCUGCCAACCCAGGAAAAAUGAUCCGUCUGGUCCCUUCAGUCACUGCCGUCUCCAGACACCUUUUUGUGGACCUGUCUUUGUGUGCCUCUGGACACCGUGCAGACACCUCGGCCGUUGAUUCUGUUGUGUUUUUAGAAUAAAGGCACAACCCCCACCACCACCCAGGGCUCAGUUUGUAAAGCCCCUGCCUAGCAUGCACUAGGCAGGAAGCCCUGGAAUCCAUCUCCAGCACCGUGAGAUGGUGCCCGCCUGUCAUCUCAGUGCUUGGGAGAUGGAGACGAGAGGUUCAAGGCCAGCCUCCGCUACAUAGUAAAUUCGAAGCCAGCCUGGGAUACAUGAAACCCUGUCUCCAAAAUAAAAUAAAAAUGGUCUUUCUGUAAA